CCCUGGCACUGGCCUGAAAGGGAUUUGUCUGGAGUGACUGUCAGAUGCUGGAAAUCUGAAAAAAAUACACUACAAUUAUAAUACUCACACUGGCUCAAGGAAUGUUCCUCAUUAUGGAUACAGCUGAGAAUAUAAACAUACGUUAUAUACCAAUAACGAGACAUCCUCUUACCAUUCUCCUCUUGAGCACAGCUGAACACAUUCUGGAGUUGCACUAAAGAAGCUAUUCUUCACGUGUGAACUUAGAUCAGUCGUCACAUCCAAACUCAAGACAGGUUGUCUUCCUGUGGCCAACUGGAAAACAUCACAUUUACUGUCAUAAAAGAGAUAACAAGGUAUACAGCUGGAUGAACACAGCAGGCCAAGCUGCAUCAGAGGAGCAGGAAGGCUGAUGUUUUGGACUGAUUGACGGAUUAGUACCAUUCAAUCAAG